rnacentral:rRNA from 1 species
AUUGAACGCUGGCGGCAUGCUUUACACAUGCAAGUCGAACGGCAGCGCGGGGCAACCUGGCGGCGAGUGGCGAACGGGUGAGUAAUAUAUCGGAACGUACCCAAGAGUGGGGGAUAACGUAGCGAAAGUUACGCUAAUACCGCAUACGAUCCAAGGAUGAAAGUGGGGGACCGCAAGGCCUCAUGCUCCUGGAGCGGCCGAUACCUGAUUAGCUAGUUGGUGAGGAAAGGCUCACCAAGGCGACGAUCAGUAGCUGGUCUGAGAGGACGACCAGCCACACUGGGACUGAGACACGGCCCAGACUCCUACGGGAGGCAGCAGUGGGGAAUUUGGACAAUGGGCGCAAGCCUGAUCCAGCAAUGCCGCGUGAGUGAAGAAGGCCUGGUGUAG